rnacentral:ncRNA from 1 species
GAAUCGAUAACCGCUGAAAGCAUCUAAGCGGGAAGCGAGUCUAAGAUGAGUCAUCCCUAGGGAUUUAAUUCCUCUAAAGAGCCGUUCGAGACUAGGACGUUGAUAGGCAGGGUGUGUAAGUGCUGUGAGGCAUUGAGCUAACCUGUACUAAUGACUCGUGAGGCUUAACCAU